UAGUCCGCACGAGCGCACCCCUAUCCUUAGUUGCUAGCAGGUAAUGCUGAGAACUCUAACGANACUGCCGGUGAUAAACCGGAGGAAGGUGGGGACGACGUCNAGUCAUCAUGGCCCUUACGUGUAGGGCUACACACGUGCUACAAUGGCGCAUACAGAGUGCUGCGAACUCGCGAGAGUAAGCGAAUCACUUAAAGUGCGUCGUAGUCCGGAUUGGAGUCUGCAACUCGACUCCAUGAAGUCGGAAUCGCUAGUAAUCGCAUAUCAGAAUGAUGCGGUGAAUACGUUCCCGGGCCUUGUACACACCGCCCGUCACACCAUGGGAGUGGGUUGCUCCAGAAGUAGAUAGUCUAACCCUCGGGAGGACGUUUACCACGGAGUGAUUCAUGACUGGGGUGAAGUCGUAACAAGGUAGCCCUAGGGGAACCUGGGGCUGGAUCACCUCCUU
rnacentral:rRNA from 1 species